GGACUACAGGGGUUUCUAAUCCUGUUUGCUCCCCACGCUUUCGCGUCUCAGCGUCAAUAGCCGUCCAGAAAGCCGCCUUCGCCACCGGUGUUCCUCUCGAUAUCUACGAAUUUCACCUCUACACCGAGAAUUCCGCUUUCCUCUCCGGCAUUCAAGCUACGAGGUUUCAAGUGCACUUCCCAGGUUGAGCCCGGGGCUUUCACACCUGACUUUCGUAGCAGCCUACACGCGCUUUACGCCCAGUAAUUCCGAACAACGUUUGCACCCUCUGUCUUACCGCGGCUGCUGGCAC
rnacentral:rRNA from 1 species